rnacentral:rRNA from 1 species
AACAGGAUUAGAUACCCUGGUAGUCCACCCCGUAAACGUUGGGAACUAGUUGUGGGGACCAUUCCACGGUUUCCGUGACGCAGCUAACGCAUUAAGUUCCCCGCCUGGGGAGUACGGCCGCAAGGCUAAAACUCAAAGGAAUUGACGGGGACCCGCACAAGCGGCGGAGCAUGCGGAUUAAUUCGAUGCAACGCGAAGAACCUUACCAAGGCUUGACAUAUACGAGAACGGGCCAGAAAUGGUCAACUCUUUGGACACUCGUAAACAGGUGGUGCAUGGUUGUCGUCAGCUCGUGUCGUGAGAUGUUGGGUUAAGUCCCGCAACGAGCGCAACCCUCGUUCUAUGUUGCCAGCACGUAGUGGUGGGAACUCAUGGGAUACUGCCGGGGUCAACUCGGAGGAAGGUGGGGAUGACGUCAAAUCAUCAUGCCCCUUAUGUCUUGGGCUUCACGCAUGCUACAAUGGCCGGUACAAAGGGCUGCAAUACCGUGAGGUGGAGCGAAUCCCAAAAAGCCGGUCCCAGUUCGGAUUGAGGUCUGCAACUCGACCUCAUGAAGUCGGAGUCGCUAGUAAUCGCAGAUCAGCAACGCUGCGGUGAAUACGUUCCCGGGUCUUGUACACACCGCCCGUCAAGUCAUGAAAGUCGGUAACACCUGAAGCCGGUGGCCCAACCCUUGUGGAGGGAGCCGUCGAAGGUGGGAUCGGUAAUUAGGACUAAGUCGUAACAAGGUAACC